rnacentral:lncRNA from 1 species
GCUGCACAAGCCUGCAGAAAUGGUACUUUUAACCAUUGGAUUAUGGCUGUCAUAUCCCAAAACCUUGACUUGGAAAAAGUUCAAGGUACAUUGGCAGAUUUGUUGGGCUUUAAAUUCGUGGAGGGGACAGAAGCUGGAAGAGCAAAUAAGUUGCAUAAGGAGAUCAUGAGAAAAGAAAAACUCCUGAUAAUUGUGGACGAUGUUUGGGAGAGAAUAGAGUUGUCAAAGAUAGGGAUUCCCACCUACAAUGAGCUUCAAAAGUGCAAGUCCAAAGUGCUACUCACCACCAGGAGAUUGAAUGUCUGUAAUGCCAUGAAGUGCCAUGAAAAGAUCGGCCUCAAAGUUCUCUCAGAUCAAGAUUCUUGGACCUUGUUCGUGAGAAAUGCAGGAACAAUUUCUUUUGAGCCCACCUCAUUUGAGAAAGUGGCAAGGAGGGUAGCUUUAGAGUGUAAGGGUCUACCGAUUGCAUUGAUAGCUGUUGCAAGGGCACUCGGAGAUGAGGACCAGGAGGAAUGGAAGAAGGCAGUUGAACGACUAGAGCAGUCGCAAUAUGUCAAUCCUAACCAUGAGGAAGAUGCAUUCCGAUGUAUAAGAUUAAGUUAUAAUUACUUGAAAGAUGGGGAUUCCAAGUCAUGCUUCUUGCUCUGUUGCCUGUUCCCAGAAGACGAUAACAUCAAAAUAGAAGACUUAUUCCGGUACGCGAUCGGAAAAAGAUUGUUUCGAGAUGCCAAAACAAUGGAAGUAGCCAGAGGAAGAUUGGUUACAGUGGUCAAGUACCUGAAAAAUUCUAGCUUGCUUUUGGAUAGUGAGGAAGAAGGAUGUGUUAAGAUGCAUGAUGUCAUCCGGGAUACAGCCAUUCAAAUUGCCGAAUCUGAAGAUUGCCAUCGGUUUUUGGUGGAAGCUGGUCGUGGUUUAAAGGAUUGGGCGCCAUGGGGAUUACAUGAAGGCUGCACUGCAAUUUCACUGAUGAACAACAAAAUUCGCAAGCUACCCAAAGAGAUGGUAUGUCCAAAUCUCCAGAUUUUAUUACUAAACGGGAAUAAGAAACUAAGUGAGAUCCCCCAAAAGUUGAUCCAGAAUCUGAAAAAGUUAAGGGUCUUGGAUCUUAGCAACACUAGUAUUUCCGUAUUACCCCAAUCAUUUAGUCUCCUCACCAACCUCCAAGCUUUGUAUUUAGAUGAUUGCAGCAAAUUAAUUGACAUUUCCGUUGUGGGGAAACUUAACAAGCUUGAAAUUCUUAGUAUGAGAGGUUGUCCCAGGGGGCAAUUGUUCAGAGAAAUAGAACAUUUGACCAAUCUAAGGAUUUUGGAUGUCAAUCGCUCUUGGGCAACGGGUGGUAUGGUUACAAUUCCAUCUAAAGUGAUACCAAUGUUGCAUAAAUUAGAAGAAUUGUACAUGGUGUACUGUGGAUUUGAGGAGGACGUGUGGUGUGUAGCUGAGGGACGAAGAGAAAGAACCAAUAUUAUUAGGUUUGAUGAGUUAGUUGGUUUAUCAAAUUUGAAAAUAUUGCAGGUUGGCUUAUCUGAUGAAAGUUUCAUCCCUAAAAAUGUUGAGGCCGCACCAGAUUGGAAUUACUUUUGUAUAACUAUCUUCGGCAGAUGCACCAGCUCUAUAUACCGCCCCCUCGCUGUAUACGAACAUGGAGAUCGUAAUUCAAGAUCCUUGUUUCUUAAUGGAGCAACCAUCAGUACCUUGCCUGAUUGGUUUAUCAAAGCGGUGACGGAGAAAACAGAGAAGCUUGAGUACAACCGCUGCGGAGGGAUGAGUGACAUUGUUAUGGAAUAUGACCAUGGGAGGUUACAUAAACUCAAGCAUCUCACAGUUGCUGGGCAACAAGACGAGUUGAAAGAGUUGAUGAACACAACAAGACGAGUUGAAACAGGACCCGUGUUUGAGAAUUUGGAAGAGUUGCAUCUGAUAGAUCUGAUCCACCUGGAGGAGUUGUUGGUUGGUGAGUUACCACUUGGGUCUCUCUCAAAUCUCAAGGUGUUUCAUGUAUUUUUUGGUAAGAUUUUAAGGAGUGUCUCAGAAUUUGUACAGAGACUACCAAAUCUGGAGAAACUACAUUUAAACGGUGUGCAUGAAUUGGAAUAUGUGUUUAGAUGCGAAGGGUUCGAGCCAGAACAACCAAAACUGAGAGAGAUGCAUUUGCUGCGUCUAAGAGCACUAAAAAGCGUAUGUAAUGGUCCUGCUCCACAUGCAAUGUUCCAGGGUCUUAAAAUUUUGACCAUUUACCGUUGCGAGCUGCUGCAAAGUCUGUUCGCAUCUGAUGUAGCCCAAUGUCUUGUUCAAUUGGAAGACCUUCUUGUUGAGGAUUGCCCUUUGUUGGAAAGAGUAAUGGAAGCAGUGAACAAGGAGAAGACGGUUCUACCAAAACUGAAGAACUUGGUUUUGAAGAAUCUUCCUAGGUUGUAUGGUGCAGUUGCUGCCGUUGAUAUUCAGUGUCGUUCAUUGGAACACUUGAUGGUGGAGGAUUGCCCCAAGCUUUUAUUUUCAACCUCUUCCGAUCUCUUUGAAGCCUUCAAAAACAGGAUCCAAUUUUCAUUUUCAGCCUCCAUUUCUGACCCAGUCCAACUCGAUGAUCCACAACUAUACCAAACUCUACGUGACAGGUAUUGACGUAUUUACUUAGUUUGUUCUUUUCUUCUGUAUUUUGUAGGGCAGCAAUUGGGCAAAAACUGAUUUGAUCAAUUAAUAUCUGUGAUUCAAUUUUUAUUCUUCCCACUCUUUUAAAACAAUUGAGCUCCCAUGACAGGACAAAACACGAAACACAAUUAAAGUAGCAUUUUUAUUUUCAUUCUUAUUUUUUUUGUUAUCAGUCAUAAUGUGAACAACAAAAAAAAGUCAAAAUUAUGCAGAAUACUUAAAGUUGAUGAUUGUUUCGUUUUCUUUACUCUAGUAAUGCAAGUUACAAACAACAUUAUGGACACUUCUAGAAUGUUACUUUUCUGUUUAAAUCUAUAAUUUUAAUAGUAAUUCUUUUUUUCUUUUCUUUUUUUCCUAUUUUGAUGCAACAGAACAUUGCAAAGUAUCAUGCUCAGCUUCUGACUUCCAUUGCAGGAAGUAACCAAGUUCAACUCUAUUUCUUUGUCCAGGUAUGUUUUGUGAUCAACUGAAUUAUUUUCUUUUCAUUGAAUGGUAGAUUUAUUGUGAUGCCAUAGAAACUAAAAAUGUUAAUUUUUUCUAAGAUAAUGGAGUUCUCAUAAUUCAUUUGCUUUCCCAAUCUUCUGUGUAUUAGUGAUUCAGUGCAACAAGCAAAUUUUAACUUCAAUUUUCUUUUUCGCUCCUAUAUUCUUAUUUUUCUUGUUAUAAUUCGUCGUUAUCAAUCAUUUCUUUUUUCUAAUUUGGAUUUGAUAAUUAAUUGAUGAAAGAUAUUAAAUUUGUGAAAGGAAAACAAUACACCUGCAUUACUUGUUGAAUAUAUAGUGAAUGUACCAUUUACUUCUGUAAGUUUUGAGUUUGUGACUUCAAAUGUGGGUAGAAAGUUACAAGUCCUUCAAUAUUUCUUGUAUUAGAAAGGCGUCCUGACAAAUGGCUUUUGUGCUUGCUUGAUGUGGAUUAUUAUUUACGGAGGGUUCCCCCGUUCCCCUAUCUCUUGAAGCCGAAAAGGGUUCUAAAAGAAACCCCCUCGUCAAAGGACCUCCCCCGCCUGUCGGAGGAAUUUGAGGGCCCGGACCCGGACGUAUUGGAGUUUAUUUCCCCUCUACCAUCAGACACCAUCAUACAGAUAAUGGGCACGUUUGGUAACUAGGAUAAGAUUGAAUUAGGAUAACAGCAAGAUUAGAUUAGGAUAAGAUUAGAUUUAUUUCAAAUCCUUUCAUUUGUUUGGUUAGAAGGAUUAGUACGGGAAUAGAUAUGUGGAAGAAAUAGAUCUCUGGUCAGCAUCCGUCUUCUUCAACACAAUCGAAAGCCCAAUUCGUCAAAUUCUCAAUUCCUCUGCGAACAUAAAUGCCUCAAGCUAAUUAACAGUGGCGGCAAGUAGAUGAGAGCCUCCGUCCCUCUGUCAACUCUAUUACAUGCCCAGAUGAAAUCAUCUACGACUCCUGCAGCUUUCCCAAUCUUCCUCCAAAGUCCUCAGCCUCUCCGCCGGCGCCGUCCACAAGGCUCUCUUUCCCGGCCAGGUCGUCGUCGCUCACAUCACGGUCGUCGAGCUUUUGGGCUUCGAUCUGUACAACUAGCUAUGAUAAAGUGUUUUAUUUCGCGCGGAGACGCAGAGAGGAGGGUCGCGUACUUGCGUCGUCUUUAGAUCCGGCUGGACUUUUUUAUAUCCCACCUUUCUAACAGGUUUUGAUAUCCUGGUCUGACAAGACAUAAUAUCCUGUCCUAGAACAAACUGAACUGCCAAACGCUGGAAUAGAUAUAUUUUUCUCCUAUCCAGUUACUUAACCGGGCAAACAAACACCGCCAAUAAGUAUUAUAUUUUGCCUAUAUAAUUUGAUGAUUGCAUCCGGAGAUUGAUCUGUGCAUUCAAAUUCUGGUUAUCCUUUUGAAACUCAAUCAUCAAUGGUUCCUUUUCCUUUUUUUUUCUUUUCUUUUACCAUUAGGCUUCUAAUAAUUAGACUUUCAUUCUUUGGAGAGUUCGCUAGAUACUUUGUGUUCGUAUGAAGAAUCAGUUUAAUGGGAUUGAUUUGAAGACAUUUUUGGUCACCAGAGAGCAGACACUAGAGUGUCAGUUAGCCUAAAUGGAUAUAUGGUAGAACAGGGAUCAUUUGAACCACUUUUGAAACUGAUGCAAGAUGGUUAGACAGCGUUAAGAAAGUUGAGGUAUCUCUUUUGAUCAAUAACAACAGAAGAUCACAUCAUUCACAUGUUAUGCUAUAGCUGUUAAGGCUAACAAACUAAGAAUCAAGGCAGGUUGACCACUGUUUGCGAUCAAGAGGUUUGAUCUCUUCAAUUUGAAUCUUGAUUUGUAUUUUUCCUUUUGUUUCCAUAGACCUUUGGAAUACAAUCACAGUACACUCACAUGAUAUGAUCUCAUAUCAUAUACCUGUCAUCCUCUAUUAAGGUGCAGAUCCAACAGAAGAUGGAUAUGAUUAACAAGAUUGAAAAUUAGAAGAGUCUUUCUUCAUUUAGAUUUGCUGGAUUCUUCUUGUUUUUAUUUUUAUUUUUAUUUUUAUUUUUAUAGUUCUAUGGGCUUAAAAUGGUCUGUAUAAUAUCAUUUGACCUUCCCAACAAUUCUUGUGAGAUCAAUGUAUUCUCCUUUAUUUUUUACUUAACAACAUUUUCACCUUUUUUCUCUCUCCUUUUUUUCUGCGGUUUUCUUCCGGUUUUAUAAGGGACUGUUUCCAAUGCAUGGAAGGCAAGGAUACAAUUCUGCCAAUUUUUUAUCGUGUGGAUCCCUGUGAUGUAUGAUAUCAGAAGAAUAGUUAUGAAGUGGCGCUUAAGUUGCAUAAGAGCAAGGCAAGACAUGGCAUGGAGAAGGUGAACCCGUGGAGAGCUGAUUUAACAAAAAUGAGAAAUCUCUCUGCUACUGAGAUUGCUGUAUGGAUUUGUAAACUACGUACUACUGUACUAGUAUCAUUUUUACCUCUCCGAAUCACCCUGCAUAUUGUGUGACAAUAUCAGUGCCUCACCUCUUGCUUCAAAAUGGUCCAGCAGCUGUAGCUGUUAACUGUCAGAAGAUGCUGCAGGAUACUGGUGACAGAGGAGCUCUAGAACUGUCGUAACUUUAUAUAUAUUCUAGAUUACCCAUUCAGCUCAAAGUUAGGACAUAUAUAUGCUUAUAGGUCAGGAAAUAUUCUUGUAAAUAAAUUCAGUCUUAGGUGUAAGAGAUGAGUUAGUAAAAUCCAAAAUUUUCAGAGCUUCAAAUUCUCUUUGUUCAUCAAGCAAAUCAUAUCAGAGGGGGGUGUGUUUAUUUGUGUGAUAAUGGGUACGAAAACUAGUUAUUUGGGCUUUUGUGGAUCAAACAUAUAUGAGAAGCCAGGCCCAAACAACUACAUGGGUCGGGCCCGGAGUCUUCUUCAUCCAUUGCCGAAAUGCGGGAACUAUAGAAGUGGCCGCUAGCUCUUGACGCUCCGGUUUCCGCGCGUGGAGAGUACACGCCUGUCAGCUCAAAACUAUCAUCGUCUCCAUUCUCGGAUGAAAAUCAGGAUUGAGUUGCCUGCGUUCUUGUUAAGGUACAAGUGACCUCACUUUGUUUACCAUUCUUGUUCCUUAAUUUACUGUGUUUCUGCAUGUGUGUGUAUAUGAUCAAUUUAUGGGCUCUGUAUUUGAUUUGAGUUAGUUUGAUUGGAGAUCAGUUACUGGUUGCUUAGUUUGUGUUGGAUUUUCUAUCCGACUACAAUUGAUUGGUUGAUACUAGUUUCAUGUACAUCUCAAUGCUGGGUCGUUUUGUGUUACUCUGAUUUUCGAAACAAACAGAAAAACAUCUCAAUGUGCAAUCAGAGAUGGCCGUUUAAUUACAUAUGAUUAUCUUAUUGGCCGGCAGCAAGUUGAGAUAUUAUAACAUCUGGGUUUGGUGUUUUUUCAAGCAAUAGGUUUUAAGUACUUGACAUUUUUGUAUCAUGACAUUUUCACCAUGUGAAACCGAUAAUUAAAAUCACCUUAUUCAGAUAACUAACUCAUUUAAAAUACUUCUGUGGCCAAGUUGUUAGUUAUCUAUGUCAUGGUUGUUAACAACUUUCUUUUGGGUUAAAUAAUUUUCACAAGCUUUUGCCUUUCGUGGGUUCCAAUGAGGCAAUGACCUGCAAUAGGAGACAUUAUUGGAUCUCUUGUUGUUUCCAGUCACAGUCUCACAUUCAGUCUUCUUCGUCUCCUCCCUUCAUUGCUUCUGUCUGGAAAUCAGUUGCUGGUUUUCAAUGGCCUCCUCCUCUUCAUCAUCGUCAACUCGCAGCUGGAAGUAUGAUGUCUUUUUGAGUUUCAGGGGUCCUGACACUCGCAAAGGGAUUACAGCCCAAAUACGCGAUCGACUUCGUAGAAGUGGCAUUAUAACGUUCAUGGAUGAACCAGAUCUUAGAGUAGGGGAUACCAUUUCGCCCACUCUCAUAAAGGCAAUUAAAGAGUCGAGGUUUGCAAUCGUAAUUCUCUCGCAAAAUUAUGCUUCUUCUACUUGGUGUUUGGAGGAACUUAGAGAGAUUUGUCUGUCCAUGGAAGACAACAGAAUUUUGCCACUUUUUUUUGAAGUUGAUCCUACUGAUGUUCGACAUCAGAAGAAGAGUUUCGAAGAAGCUUUCUCUAAGCAUGAAACCUCUGGCCGACAUGAAUCAGACAAGUUGAAUCAAUGGAGGGCUGCCAUAAGCAAAGUGGCCAAUAUCUCAGGGUGGAACACAAAUGAUUAUAAGUAAGCAUUGUGCCUUCAAUUUCAAUUCUAUUAAUUUUAUCAAUUAAUAUCUGUGAUUCAAUUUUUAUUCUUCCCACUCUUUUAAAACAAUUGAGCUCCCAAGACAGGACAAAACACACGAAACACAAUUAAAAUGACAUUUUUAUUUUCAUUAUUAUUUUUCUUUGUUAUCGGUCAUAAUGUAAACAACAACAACAAAAAUCAAAAUUAUGCAGAAUACGUAAAGUUGAUGAUUGUUUCAUUUUCUUUACUUUAGUAAUGCAAGUUACAAACAACAUUAUGGACACUCCUCCUAGAAUGUUGCUUUUCUGUUUAAAUCUAUAAUUUUAAUAGUAAUUCUUUUUUUCUUUUUCUUUUUUUGAUGCAACAGAACAUCUGGUUUACAAUCGUGAAGUCUCUAGCUCUGCUUCUGACUUCCAUUGCAAGAAGUAAUCUAUAUAUUUUACCUAACACUUAAGUUUUAAUCCUUAUAACUCUUUAAUUCUUCCUUGUAGGACUCACGAAGAACUUGUUGACAAGAUUGUGGAAUCUCUCCGCAGUGAAGUACCACCAGAUGCAAUUGAAUUCACAGAUGAUUUCCAAGCAUUUGGAGCAACAAAAGAAGCGACAGACAAGGUUAUGAAGGCGCUAACAGAUGACAAGAUUACUGCCGUUGGUGUCUAUGGCAUGGGCGGCGUUGGAAAGACAAGCAUGGUGAGACAUGUAGCUGCACAAGCCUGCAGAAAUGGUACUUUUAACCACUGGAUUAUGGCUGUCGUAUCCCAAAACCUUGACUUGGAAAAAGUUCAAGGUACAUUGGCAGAUUUGUUGGGCUUUAAAUUCGUCGAGGAGACAGAAGCUGGAAGAGCAAAUAAGUUGCAUAAGGAGAUCAUGAGAAAAGAAAAACUCCUGAUAAUUGUGGACGAUGUUUGGGAGAGAACAGAGUUGUCAAAGAUAGGGAUUCCCACCUACAAUGAGCUUCAAAAGUGCAAGUCCAAAGUGCUACUCACCACCAGGAGAUUGAAUGUCUGUAAUGCCAUGAAGUGCCAUGAAAAGAUCAGCCUCAAAGUUCUCUCAGAUCAAGAUUCUUGGACCUUGUUCGUGAGAAAUGCAGGAACAAUUUCUUUUGAGCCCACCUCAUUUGAGAAAGUGGCAAGGAGGGUAGCUUUAGAGUGUAAGGGUCUACCGAUUGCAUUGAUAGCUGUUGCAAGGGCACUCGGAGAUGAGGACCAGGAGGAAUGGGAGAAGGCAGCUAACAGCCUAGAGCAGUCGCAAUAUGUCAAUC